rnacentral:rRNA from 1 species
GAUGAACGCUGGCGGCGUGCCUAACACAUGCAAGUCGAGCGGUAUAUAGUGGAAUGAAACUUCGGUCGAGUGAAGCUAUAGAGAGCGGCGGACGGGUGAGUAACGCGUAGGCAACCUGCCCCAUACAGAGGGAUAGCCUCGGGAAACCGGGAUUAAUACCUCAUAACGCAGAGAGUUCACAUGGACUAUCUGCCAAAGAUUCAUCGGUAUGGGAUGGGCCUGCGUCUGAUUAGCUAGUUGGUGAGGUAACGGCUCACCAAGGCGACGAUCAGUAGCCGACCUGAGAGGGUAAUCGGCCACAUUGGAACUGAGACACGGUCCAAACUCCUACGGGAGGCAGCAGUGGGGAAUAUUGCACAAUGGGCGAAAGCCUGAUGCAGCAACGCCGCGUGAGCGAUGAAGGCCUUUGGGUCGUAAAGCUCUGUCCUUGGGGAAGAAACAAAUGACGGUACCCUUGGAGGAAGCCCCGGCUAACUACGUGCCAGCAGCCGCGGUAAUACGUAGGGGGCGAGCGUUAUCCGGAAUUAUUGGGCGUAAAGAGUGCGUAGGUGGCCAUGUAAGCGCGGGGUGAAAGGCAAUAGCUUAACUAUUGUAAGCCUUGCGAACUGUAUGGCUUGAGUGCAGGAGAGGAAAGUGGAAUUCCUAGUGUAGCGGUGAAAUGCGUAGAUAUUAGGAGGAACACCAGUGGCGAAGGCGACUUUCUGGACUGUAACUGACACUGAGGCACGAAAGCGUGGGGAGCAAACA